rnacentral:rRNA from 1 species
GACGAACGCUGGCGGCGUGCCUAACACAUGCAAGUUGAGCGACGAACCAGGGCCUGCCCUGGGGCAAAGCAGCGAACGGGUGAGUAACACGUGGGUAACCUACCCCGAUAACCGGGACAACCCGAGGAAACUCGGGCUAAUACCGGAUGUGCUCACUGGACUUCGGUUCAGUGCGUAAAGGAAGCUUCGGCCUCCGUAUCGGGAGGGGCCCGCGGCCCAUUAGUUUGUUGGUGAGGUAACGGCUCACCAAGACCGCGAUGGGUAGCUGGUCUGAGAGGACGAUCAGCCACACUGGGACUGAGACACGGCCCAGACUCCUACGGGAGGCAGCAGUGGGGAAUCUUGCGCAAUGCGCGAAAGCGUGACGCAGCAACGCCGCGUGGGGGAAGAAGGCCUUCGGGUUGUAAACCCCUUUCAGGAGGGACGAAGGUUCGGCGGUGAAUAGCCGUCCGGACUGACGGUACCUCCACAAGAAGCCCCGGCUAACUACGUG